UCUGAUGUCUGCCCUAUCAUCUUUCAAUGAUACUUUCUGUGCCUACCAUGCUGACCACAGGUAACGGGGAAUCAGGGUUCGAUUCCGGAGAGGGAGCCUGAGAAACGGCUACCACAUCCAACGAAGGCAGCAGGCAUGCAAAUUCCCCACUCCCACCGCGGGGAGGUAGUGACGAAAAAUAACAAUACAGGACUCUUUCGAGGCCCUGUAAUUGGAAUGAGUACACUUUAAAUCCUUUAACAAGGAUCUAUUGGAGGGC
rnacentral:lncRNA from 1 species